AUUAGACGAAUCAUCUGGAAAGAUGAAUCAAAGAAGGUAAUAAUCCUGUAGUCGAAAAUGUUGUCUCUCUUGAGUGGAUCCUGAGUACGACGGAGCACGUGAAAUUCCGUCGGAAUCUGGGAGGACCAUCUCCUAAGGCUAAAUACUCUCUAGUGACCGAUAGUGAACCAGUACCGUGAGGGAAAGGUGAAAAGCACCCCGGAAGGGGAGUGAAAUAGAACCUGAAACCGUGUGCUUACAAGUAGUCAGAGCCCGUUAAUGGGUGAUGGCGUGCCUUUUGUAGAAUGAACCGGCGAGUUACGAUUUGAUGCAAGGUUAAGCAGUAAAUGUGGAGCCGUAGCGAAAGCGAGUCUGAAUAGGGCGUUUAGUAUUUGGUCGUAGACCCGAAACCAGGUGAUCUACCCUUGGUCAGGUUGAAGUUCAGGUAACACUGAAUGGAGGACCGAACCGACUUACGUUGAAAAGUGAGCGGAUGAACUGAGGGUAGCGGAGAAAUUCCAAUCGAACCUGGAGAUAGCUGGUUCUCUCCGAAAUAGCUUUAGGGCUAGCCUCAAGUGAUGAUUAUUGGAGGUAGAGCACUGUUUGGACGAGGGGCCCCUCUCGGGUUACCGAAUUCAGACAAACUCCGAAUGCCAAUUAAUUUAACUUGGGAGUCAGAACAUGGGUGAUAAGGUCCGUGUUCGAAAGGGAAACAGCCCAGACCACCAGCUAAGGUCCCAAAAUAUAUGUUAAGUGGAAAAGGAUGUGGCGUUGCCCAGACAACUAGGAUGUUGGCUUAGAAGCAGCCAUCAUUUAAAGAGUGCGUAAUAGCUCACUAGUCGAGUGACACUGCGCCGAAAAUGUACCGGGGCUAAACAUAUUACCGAAGCUGUGGAUUGUCCUUUGGACAAUGGUAGGAGAGCGUUCUAAGGGCGUUGAAGCAUGAUCGUAAGGACAUGUGGAGCGCUUAGAAGUGAGAAUGCCGGUGUGAGUAGCGAAAGACGGGUGAGAAUCCCGUCCACCGAUUGACUAAGGUUUCCAGAGGAAGGCUCGUCCGCUCUGGGUUAGUCGGGUCCUA
rnacentral:rRNA from 1 species